GACGAACCGUGCGACCGUUGUUCGGAUUCACUGGGCUUAAAGGGCGCGUAGGCGGGCGGUCAAGUCAGGGGUGAAAUCCUUCGGCUCAACCGGAAAAGUGCCUUUGAUACUGGCCGUCUCGAGGGAGGUAGGGGCAUGCGGAACUUCCGGUGGAGCGGUGAAAUGCGUAGAUAUCGGAAGGAACGCCGGUGGCGAAAGCGGCGUGCUGGACCUCUUCUGACGCUGAGGCGCGAAAGCCAGGGGAGCAAACGGG
rnacentral:rRNA from 1 species